GAUGAACGCUGGCGGCGUGCCUAAUACAUGCAAGUCGAGCGAACAGACGAGGAGCUUGCUCCUCUGACGUUAGCGGCGGACGGGUGAGUAACACGUGGAUAACCUACCUAUAAGACUGGGAUAACUUCGGGAAACCGGAGCUAAUACCAGAUAACAUAUUGAACCGCAUGGUUCAAUAGUGAAAGACGGUUUUGCUGUCACUUAUAGAUGGAUCCGCGCCGCAUUAGCUAGUUGGUAAGGUAACGGCUUACCAAGGCAACGAUGCGUAGCCGACCUGAGAGGGUGAUCGGCCACACUGGAACUGAGACACGGUCCAGACUCCUACGGGAGGCAGCAGUAGGGAAUCUUCCGCAAUGGGCGAAAGCCUGACGGAGCAACGCCGCGUGAGUGAUGAAGGUCUUCGGAUCGUAAAACUCUGUUAUUAGGGAAGAACAAAUGUGUAAGUAACUAUGCACGUCUUGACGGUACCUAAUCAGAAAGCCACGGCUAACUACGUG
rnacentral:rRNA from 1 species